UACGAAGGGGCUAGCGUUGCUCGGAAUCACUGGGCGUAAAGGGUGCGUAGGCGGGUCUUUAAGUCAGGGGUGAAAUCCUGGAGCUCAACUCCAGAACUGCCUUUGAUACUGAAGAUCUUGAGUUCGGGAGAGGUGAGUGGAACUGCGAGUGUAGAGGUGAAAUUCGUAGAUAUUCGCAAGAACACCAGUGGCGAAGGCGGCUCACUGGCCCGAUACUGACGCUGAUGCAACGAAAGCGUGGGGAGCAAACAGGAUUAGACUACCCCUGU
rnacentral:rRNA from 1 species